CGGAGGAUCCAAGCGUUAUCCGGAUUUAUUGGGUUUAAAGGGUGCGUAGGCGGCCUGUUAAGUCAGGGGUGAAAGACGGUAGCUCAACUAUCGCAGUGCCCUUGAUACUGACGGGCUUGAAUUGACUAGAGGUAGGCGGAAUGUGACAAGUAGCGGUGAAAUGCAUAGAUAUGUCACAGAACACCGAUUGCGAAGGCAGCUUACUAUGGUCUUAUUGACGCUGAGGCACGAAAGCGUGGGGAUCAAACAGGAUUAGAUACCCUGGUAGUCCACGCCCUAAACGAUGAAUACUCGCUGUUGGCGAUACACAGUCAGCGGCUAAGCGAAAGCGUUAAGUAUUCCACCUGGGGAGUACGCCGGCAACGGUG
rnacentral:rRNA from 1 species